rnacentral:rRNA from 1 species
CCUACGGGAGGCAGCAGUGAGGAAUAUUGGUCAAUGGGCGGGAGCCUGAACCAGCCAAGUCGCGUGAGGGAAGACGGUCCUAUGGAUUGUAAACCUCUUUAGGCGGGGAGCAAUGCCGGGCACGCGUGCCCGGAGGGAGAGUACCCGCAGAAUAAGCAUCGGCUAACUCCGUGCCAGCCGCCGCGGUAAUACGGGGGAUGCGUGCGUUAUCCGGAUUGAUUUGGUUUAAAGGGUGCGUAGGCGGAUUUUUAAGUCAGCGGUAAAAUGUCGGGGCUCAACCCGGGCCGGCCGUUGAAACUGGGGAUCUUGAGUGGGCGAGAAGUAUGCAGAAUGCGUGGUGUAGCGGUGAAAUGCAUAGAUAUCACGCAGAACUCCGAUUGCGAAGGCAGCAUACCGGCGCCCGACUGACGCUGAGGCACGAAAGCGUGGGGAUCGAACAGGAUUAGAUACCCGUGUAGUC